rnacentral:rRNA from 1 species
UACGUAGGGGGCUAGCGUUGUCCGGAUUCAUUGGGCGUAAAGCGCGUGCAGGCGGCUUGGUAAGUCGGAUGUGAAAUCCCGGAGCUCAACUCCGGAACUGCAUCCGAUACUGCCUCGCUAGAGUCCCGGAGAGGAUGGCGGAAUUUCCGGUGUAGAGGUGAAAUUCGUAGAUAUCGGAAGGAACACCAGCGGCGAAGGCGGCCAUCUGGACGGUGACUGACGCUCAGACGCGAAAGCGCGGGGAGCAAACAGG